GGAGACCCCUCGCGCGGCGUCCAUCUCGCCAACCCCCCCAGGGCCGGAAGGCAGCAAGGGUACGCGGGCUCUGACGGGUGUGCGGGGGGUCCUUUCG
rfam:Acidothermus cellulolyticus 11B, complete genome.